rnacentral:rRNA from 1 species
GAUGAACGCUGGCGGCGUGCUUAACACAUGCAAGUCGAACGGAAAGGCCCAAGCUUGCUUGGGUACUCGAGUGGCGAACGGGUGAGUAACACGUGGGUGAUCUGCCCUGCACUUCGGGAUAAGCCUGGGAAACUGGGUCUAAUACCGGAUAGGACCACGUCUUGGAUGUUGUGGUGGAAAGUUUUUUCGGUGUGGGAUGAGCUCGCGGCCUAUCAGCUUGUUGGUGGGGUAAUGGCCUACCAAGGCGUCGACGGGUAGCCGGCCUGAGAGGGUGUACGGCCACAUUGGGACUGAGAUACGGCCCAGACUCCUACGGGAGGCAGCAGUGGGGAAUAUUGCACAAUGGGCGCAAGCCUGAUGCAGUGACGCCGCGUGGGGGAUGACGGCCUUCGGGUUGUAAACUCCUUUCGCUAGGGACGAAGCGUUUUUGUGACGGUACCUGGAGAAGAAGCACCGGCUAACUACGUG